rnacentral:rRNA from 1 species
GGAUCCCAUCAGAACUCCGAAGUUAAGCAUGCUUGGGCGAGAGUAGUACUAGGAUGGGUGACCUCCUGGGAAGUCCUCGUGUUGCAUUCUCUUUUUAAUAAGUUUUUGCUCCACGCGAGAAACAUGACGCACGUGCGCGGUAUUUAUUAAACAAUGUUUCUGAUUUUUGACGGUUGCGGUAAGUUAUAGCUUGCGGCGCGGUACUCACGCGUCUAGGGGCGGCGUUGCGGUGGCAAAGGUACCGCGUUGUGAAAGGGGUCGAAACCGCGGUAGAACUCGUGUUGGUGCGGUAGAGAGGGAAGGGUGGAAACGGUGGAAAACCCGUCUUUGUUGUUGAGCGGGAGAGUACGUGGUACGGUGCGGUAUCCGUUAUUAGGAGCGGUGGAAAAGAAUGUACGGAGGUGUUUAUGGUGGAGCCGGGAGGGGCGAGCAUAAUGAACGAAGGCGGGGGUAACUUGUCGGAUGCAAUCAUACCAGCAUUGAAGCACCAAAUCCCC